rnacentral:rRNA from 1 species
CGACGUGAGCAACCUGCCUUUCAGUGGGGGACAACAGUUGGAAACGACUGCUAAUACCGCAUAAUGCAUUUUUGACCGCAUGGUCGAGAUGCCAAAGAUUUAUUGCUGAAAGAUGGGCUCGCGUCUGAUUAGAUAGUUGGUGAGGUAACGGCCCACCAAGUCGACGAUCAGUAGCCGGACUGAGAGGUUGAACGGCCACAUUGGGACUGAGAUACGGCCCAG